rnacentral:rRNA from 1 species
CAGUAGCCGCGGGAAUACGGAGGGUGCAAGCGUUAAUCGGAAUUACUGGGCGUAAAGCGCACGCAGGCGGUCUGACAAGUCAGAUGUGAAAUCCCCGGGCUUAACCUGGGGACUGCAUUUGAAACUGUCAGGCUGGAGUCUUGUAGAGGGGGGUGGAAUUCCAGGUGUAGCGGUGAAAUGCGUAGAGAUCUGGAGGAAUACCGGUGGCGAAGGCGGCCCCCUGGACAAAGACUGACGCUCAGGUGCGAAAGCGUGGGGAGCAAACAGGAUUAGAUACCCCAGUAGUCCCUGUCUCUUAUAA